rnacentral:tRNA from 1 species
GUCCCGUUCGUCUAGCCCGGUCUAGGACACAGCCCUUUCAAGGCUGCGACACGGGUUCGAAUCCCGUACGGGACG